AUUGAACGCUGGCGGCAGGCCUAACACAUGCAAGUCGAGCGAGCGGCGGACGGGUGAGUAAUGUCUGGGAAACUGCCUGAUGGCGGGGGAUAACUACUGGACACGGUAGCUAAUACCGCAUACCAUCAGAUGUGCCCAUAUGGGAUUAGCUAGUCGGUGGGGUAACGGCUCACCUAGGCGACGAUCCCUAGCUGGGCUGAGAGGAUGACCAGCAGCCCGGGAACUGAGACACGGUCCAGACUCCGACGGGAGGCAGGAGUGGGGAAUAUUGCACAAUGGGCGAAAGCCUGAUGCAGCAAUGCCGCGUGUGUGAAGAAGGCCUUCGGGUUGUAAAGCACUUUCAGCGGGGAGGCGUUACCCGCAGAAGAAGCACCGGCUAACUCCGUGCCAGCAGCCGCGGUAAUUC
rnacentral:rRNA from 1 species